ensembl:piRNA 21ur-1806 ncRNA
UCUUAGUACUGUGCUUUGUGG